UGCCAGAAAUCCAUGUUUUUCCCCUUCAAUAUGGGGUUUUCCCCAUUAAAUAUGGCUUUUUCCCCUAGAAAUCCCUGUUUUUCCCCUUAAAUAUGGGGUUUUCCCCAUUAAAUAUGGCUUUUUCCCCUAGAAAUCCCUGUUUUUCCCCUUAAAUAUGGGGUUUUCCCCAUUAAAUAUGGCUUUUUCCCCUAGAAAUCCCUGUUUUUCACCUUAAAUAUGGCUUUUCCUCCUAGAAAUCCCUGUUUUUCCCAUUAAAUCUGGGGUUUUCUCACAGAAAUCGCUGUUAUUCCCAUUAAAACUGGGGUUUUUCCCCUUAAAUAUGGCUUUUUCUGACAGAAAUCCCUGGC